GACGAACGCUGGCGGCGUGCUUAACACAUGCAAGUCGAGCGGUAAGGCCCUUUCGGGGGUACACGAGCGGCGAACGGGUGAGUAACACGUGGGUGACCUGCCCUCAGCUCUGGGAUAAGCCUGGGAAACUGGGUCUAAUACUGGAUAUGACUCCACGGUGCAUGUCGUGGGGUGGAAAGCCUUGUGCGGCUGAGGAUGGGCCCGCGGCCUAUCAGCUUGUUGGUGGGGUGANGGCCUACCAAGGCGACGACGGGUAGCCGGCCUGAGAGGGCGACCGGCCACACUGGGACUGAGACACGGCCAGACUCCUACGGGAGGCAGCAGUGGGGAAUCUUGCGCAAUGGGCGAAAGCCUGACGCAGCGACGCCGCGUGAGGGAUGACGGCCU
rnacentral:rRNA from 1 species